AUCUCAAUAGCUAAAUUGUUAAAGGGCUGGCAGGGUAUGCCAGAGGUCCUGGGUUCAAGUCCUGGUUAAGACU
rnacentral:tRNA from 1 species